rnacentral:rRNA from 1 species
AACGAACGCUGGCGGCAGGCUUAACACAUGCAAGUCGAACGCCCCGCAAGGGGAGUGGCAGACGGGUGAGUAACGCGUGGGAAUCUACCCAGUUCUACGGAAUAACCCAGGGAAACUUGGACUAAUACCGUAUACGCCCUACGGGGGAAAGAUUUAUCGGAAUUGGAUGAGCCCGCGUUGGAUUAGCUAGUUGGUGGGGUAAUGGCCUACCAAGGCGACGAUCAGUAGCUGGUCUGAGAGGAUGAUCAGCCACACUGGGACUGAGACACGGCCCAGACUCCUACGGGAGGCAGCAGUGGGGAAUAUUGGACAAUGGGCGCAAGCCUGAUCCAGCCAUGCCGCGUGAGUGAUGAAGGCCUUAGGGUUGUAAAGCUCUUUCGGCGGGGACGAUAAUGACGGUACCCGCAGAAGAAGCCCCGGCUAACUUCGUGCCAGCCGCCGCCGUAAUAC